AAUUAUGGUACAACACUGCUGUACCAUAAUUGGAUUGUUUUAUACAGGUAAAAAAUGAAAAUAAACUGAACAGUACUAAUACUGACAAUACAGUAAUAAUACUUUAAAUGAAAAUACAGUAAUAUAUCCAGCUACUGUAACAUUUACAGAAAUCUCUUUACAGUGUAGUUUAGGUGCCUAUCAGUUGGCA